CAAGGAAUCUUCGGCAAUGGGCGCAAGCCUGACCGAGCAACGCCGCGUGGAGGACGACGGCCUUCGGGUUGUAAACUCCUUUUGUGGGGGACGAAACGGACUGUACCCCGCGAAUAAGCCCCGGCUAACUCUGUGCCAGCAGCCGCGGUAAUACAGAGGGGGCAAGCGUUGUCCGGAUUUACUGGGCGUACAGCGCGCGCAGGCGGCAGGGUAUGUGACUGGUGACAUCCGCGAGCUCAACUCGCGGCGGCCCGGUUACACAGCCCGGCUGGAGGCAGGGAGAGGGAUGUGGAAUACCCGGUGGAGCGGUGAAAUGCGUAGAGAUCGGGUGGAACACCAGCGGCGAAGGCGGCAUCCUGGCCCUGACCUGACGCUGAGGCGCGAUAGCGUGGGGAGCAAACGGGAUUAGAUACCCCGGUAGUCCACGCCGUAAACGAUGUGGAGCCGGUGCUGGGCAGUGAUUGCGCUGCUCGGUGCCCCAGCUUACGCGAUGACUCCACCGCCU
rnacentral:rRNA from 1 species